UCCUGCAUCCCCAGCUGCCGGAGCUCCCGCUGUGCGGAGGAGAAGCAUCUGAGGAGGGAAAGGGAACAAAAGAGCGAGAUCAGAAAGAGGCAUAAAAGAAGGAAAUGUGGAAGGAGCCCCGCAUUAUUUUAAAGAUCCCCGCGCUGCUGCUGUUAUCAUCAUCAUCCUCGUGCACUUGGCAGGUUGAAAGGUAUCUCAGAGCAGCAAGAACGCAGCAGUAAUUUAACAUCCCACAGCAGCGCUUUAAAAGCAUCAAAUAACAUUUUGAAUGUUAAGAAGUCAGUACAAGUGUAAAUAAACGGAAGCACUCCCACAUGUCUGUUGUUUUUAAACUCGCAAUGAUCCU
rnacentral:lncRNA from 1 species